rnacentral:misc_RNA from 1 species
AAUUUUUUUCUUCUUUUGAUCGAAGCCAGAAAUUGUUAUAAUCGAUUGUGGAUUAAGGACUGUGGAAUUGAAAUGGAUUCUGGUGAUUGGAGAACUCAACUUUUUCCCGAAUCGCGUCAAAGGAUUGUCAACAAGAUAAUGGAGACCUUGAAGAGGCAUCUUCCUGUUUCUGGGCAACAAGGAGUAGAGGAGCUUAAGAAAAUUGCUGUAAACUUUGAAGAAAAGAUCUAUUCGGCUGCUACAAGUCAGCAAGAUUAUCUUAGGAAGAUAUCUUUAAAGAUGCUGACCAUGGAGACAAAAUCUCAAAAUUCUGGGAGUAGUGGUCAUAAUGCCCUUAGUCCAGGUGAACAAUGAAGUCUCAUGUGCUGUAUUUUAAUAGGGAAAUAUCUUGUUUGACAGGAUGUUUUGUAUAAACUUAAUGACUUCAUAGAUUAUGUUUUCGUAGAACUUGAUAAAUUAUGUUUUUAUAUGAUUGAUU